UGAAGGGCAGGAGUAGAAGAGUUAGUGAAGGACAGGAGUAGAAAAGUUGUUGUUUGUUUUUCUUGUUUUUGUCUGUUGUCUGUUGUUUGUUCUUUCUUGUUGUUUCUU
rnacentral:ribozyme from 10 species